rnacentral:rRNA from 1 species
GGGUCAGUAGGUUGGUCGUGCCACCGGUACGUACUGGUCUCACUGAUUCCUCCUUCCUGAAGAACCGUAAUGCCAUUAAUUUGGUGUUGCGGGGAAACAGGGCUGUUACUUUGAAAAAAUUAGAGUGUUUAAAGCAAGCUAACGCUUGAAUACAUUAGCACGGAAUAAUGAAAUAGGACGAUCGAUCCUAUUUUGUUGGUUUCUAGGAUUGACGUA